rnacentral:rRNA from 1 species
GAUCAUGGCUCAGGAUGAACGCUAGCUACAGGCUUAACACAUGCAAGUCGAGGGGCAGCAUGAACUUAGCUUGCUAAGUUUGAUGGCGACCGGCGCACGGGUGAGUAACACGUAUCCAACCUUCCAUUUACUCAGGGAUAGCCUUUCGAAAGAAAGAUUAAUACCUGAUAGUAUUGUGAGAUUGCAUAAUAGCACCAUUAAAGAUUUAUUGGUAAACGAUGGGGAUGCGUUCCA